AUGACGCCGACGCCGGCGCGCGCCUCCGCGGCCGCGGCCCACGCCCUGCUGCGCAGAACGAGAUGCUUCGCCGCGGCGAAUCAGAUCCGGACGGCCUCGAGGGCCUUCUCCAGCGCGCCGGCGGGAGCGUCCGAGCCGCAGGGCCCAGAGAAAGUUGCCGGAGAUGACGAGCUUGAUGUUGCUAUCGUCGGUGGAGGCAUGGUGGGCCUGGCUGUUGCUUGUGCACUCUCCAAUAUGCCAUUGACCAAACACCUGCGAGUUGCCGUCAUCGAUAGCAAUCCUGCAUUGAAGUCAAUGAAUUAUCUCAAGAAAGAUGGUAUACCUGAUUCAAGGGUCAGCACUGUUACUCCUGCAACCAUUUCCUUCUUCAGAGAUAUUGGUGCAUGGGAGCAUAUUCUACAGCAGAGACAUGCUUUCUUUGGUAAAAUGCAGGUGUGGGAUUACACUGGACUGGGAUACACAAGGUACAACGCAAGAGAUGUGUCCAAAGAAUAUCUUGGAUGUGUGGUGGAGAACAAGGUGCUUUGCAACUCACUUCUGUUACGCUUACAGGAGCAAAAGGAAGACAUUGGAAAGAUGGUCUACCCUACCCGAUUGGUGUCUCUUGCUUUCCCAUCAAAGAGCAGAAACGUAGGAGUAGCAGGACUGAAGCCACCAUCAACUGAGGCAGAGGAACUACGCCGUAGUAAUUUGGUUAAACUUGACCUAAGUGAUGGACAGACUUUAUAUUCAAAGUUGGUGGUAGGAGCAGAUGGUUCCAAAUCCAAUGUAAGGCAGAUUGCGGGCAUAAAAACAACUGGUUGGAGUUAUCCUCAGAGUGCGAUUAUCUGUACAGUAGAGCAUACUGCAGCGAAUGACUGUGCAUGGCAGAGGUUUCUCCCUUCUGGUCCGAUUGCCCUGCUUCCAAUAGGCGACAACUUCAGCAAUAUAGUGUGGACAAUGAGCCCAGAGGAGGCAUCACGGCAUAAGUCAAUGAGCUCUGAAGAUUUUGUGAUGUCAGUGAACCGUGCAUUGGAUUUUGGUUAUGGACCGCAUCCCAACUCUAGUAGUCUUGACCAUUACGUGGAAAGGUUGUUUUCUGACUUUGGAGGUACUGCAGCGUCUACGAAAGAAUGCUUUGAAGUACCACCAAGGGCAAUUGGGCUGAUCUCAGAGAGAAUGGCAUUUCCAUUGUCACUGAUGCAUUCCCAUGAUUAUGUUUCAAAAAGGCUAGCCUUAGUUGGUGAUGCUGCUCAUACAGUGCACCCCUUGGCCGGUCAAGGUGUCAAUUUGGGUUUUGGAGAUGCAGCUGCCUUAGCAAAAGUUAUUUCUGAAGGAGUUUCUGUUGGUGCUGAUAUUGGGGAUCUAUCUUUGCUGAAUCGGUAUGAGACUGACCGCAAGGCUGCCAAUAUUGCGAUGGCGGCAGUUCUAGAUGGCUUCCAGAAGAUGUACUCUGUCGAUUUCGGACCCCUCAAUGUUCUAAGAGCCGCUGCAUUCCAUGGUGCCCAGUACAUAUCACCACUGAAGAAGAACAUAAUAUCUUACGCAAUGGGCGACAGCAAAUCGCCUCUGUUUUCAUAA
rnacentral:rRNA from 1 species